UACGUAGGGUCCGAGCGUUGUCCGGAAUUACUGGGCGUAAAGAGCUCGUAGGUGGUUUGUCGCGUUGUUCGUGAAAACUCACAGCUUAACUGUGGGCGUGCGGGCGAUACGGGCAGACUAGAGUACUGCAGGGGAGACUGGAAUUCCUGGUGUAGCGGUGGAAUGCGCAGAUAUCAGGAGGAACACCGGUGGCGAAGGCGGGUCUCUGGGCAGUAAACUGACGCUGGAGGAGCGAAAGCGUGGGGAGCGAACAGG
rnacentral:rRNA from 1 species